AAAAACAACGAUCUGCUGGUUAUCAAGUUUGGCGCAGAUGUUUAGCUAAAUUUAAAAUACAAGUGCAGGCAUUAAUAUACCAUUAAGUACUGUUUAUAUUGAUAUACUGUAUCAAACAUUAUGGAGAUAUAUUUGACUGAAAUUGCUAAGGAUGGGUCUUUUAUCCUGCGUAUGGAUGUAGUAGAAGAGCUUUUAAGUGCAGCUAGAGCCGAUGCAAUUGCAUUUGUGGCAAUCGUAGGACCACCAAGAGGCGGGAAAUUUAUGAUUGCUAAAGCAUGUUCAGCUUAUCUGGAACGACCAAAGCAGAUGGAACUGAGAGACCAAGACAUAUUUGAUUACAAUGCAAUCAGAGACCAC